AACUUUUGGCAACGGAUCACUUGGCUCUCGCAUCGAUGAAGAACGCAGCGAAAUGCGAUACGUAAUGCGAAUUGCAGAAUUCAGUGAAUCAUCGAAUCUUUGAACGCAUAUUGCGCUCUCUGGUAUUCCGGAGAGCAUGCUUGUUUGAGUAUCAGUAAACACCUCAAAUCCCUCUACUUGUUGGAGGAGUUUGGACUUGAGCAAUCCCAACUUUUCGAAAGAGAAGGUGGGUUGCUUGAAAUGCCGGUGCUACUAGAAUCUUUCUUCUGAGCUAUAAGCAUAAUUAUUUAAUCCCGUCAAACGGAUUAUUACUUUUGCUGCAGCUAACAUAAAGGUUGAAGAGUCGCUAUGGCUGACUGAUGCAGGAUUUAACAUGUCGCGCAAGCGAUCUGUAAACUCGAUCUCAAAUCAAGCAAGACUACCCGCUGAACUUAAGCAUAUCAAUAAGCGGAGGCU
rnacentral:misc_RNA from 1 species